GACCGCGUAGCUCAGUUGGAAGAGCAUUGGGCUAGUAUUCCAAAGGUCGUAGGUUCGAAUCCCACCGUGGUCU